AGUGAACGCUGGCGGUAGGCCUAACACAUGCAAGUCGAACGGCAGCACAGUAAGAGCUUGCUCUUACGGGUGGCGAGUGGCGGACGGGUGAGGAAUACAUCGGAAUCUACUUUUUCGUGGGGGAUAACGUAGGGAAACUUACGCUACUACCGCAUACGACCUACGGGUGAAAGCAGGGGAUCUUCGGACCUUGCGCGAUUGAAUGAGCCGAUGUCGGAUUAGCUAGUUGGCGGGGUAAAGGCACACCAAGGCGACGAUCCGUAGCUGGUCUGAGAGGAUGAUCAGCCACACUGGAACUGAGACACGGUCCAGACUCCUACGGGAGGCAGCAGUGGGGAAUAUUGGACAAUGGGCGCAAGCCUGAUCCAGCCAUACCGCGUGGGUGAAGAAGGCCUUCGGGUUGUAAAGCCCUUUUGUUGGGAAAGAAAAGCAGCAGGUUAAUACCCCGCUGUUCUGACGGUACCCAAAGAAUAAGCACCGGCUAACUUCGUG
rnacentral:rRNA from 1 species